AAUAGCUCAAAUUUGAAAUCUGGCGUCUUCGGCGUCCGAGUUGUAAUUUGUAGAGGAUGCUUCUGAGUAACCACCGACCUAAGUUCCUUGGAACAGAAUGUCAAAGAGGGUGAGAAUCCCGUCUUGGACCGGCGGUAGGGCCUGUGUAAAACUCCUUCGAC
rnacentral:rRNA from 1 species